UUCAAUAUAUUAUUUGUUAGCAAAACAUGCACUUACGUAAGAAAUUCUACAACAAUUCAAUGAUCAACCAAGGAAAGAAUCCUUGUUGACCAUUGAAUGUUGCCUUAUGUGGCAACUUACCUUCCAUCCAAGGGCUGGUGGCUGCCACGCAAAUGGAAUUUUAAGCCACCAUGUGCGGCGGCCCUAGGAGCUACCUUUGCUUUUUGGUAGCCAUGGCACUAGGUAAAAAAACUUCCAAAAUUGAAGCACCUUUCAGCAGCCUUUGAAACUGAUUUUCAGCCUUAUUCCAACCUCACACAUGAACAAUUCAUGGUGAAAUUAAUUCUGGAAAUUUU
rnacentral:lncRNA from 1 species